GGUGGGGGGGGUCCUCCUGCCUAAGGGGCUGGUGUAGGGCAGCAGUUCACUUGCAUACCCAAGUUUCCGAUCUAGAAAUAGCAGCGUGUUACAGCACAGUGCACACUCUGACUGAACGUGGCUGAUGAUGUUCUCCUUUUUAUCACAUCGUUAUGAAAUACAUCAACGAGAAGAAUAUUGGGGUUGAGCUUCCUGGGUCAGAUGCUUCUGCUUGCAUUGUGAUCUGGGAACCCAGACUGAGCAGCUGCUGCUCCCCCGGUGGGGUCUGGGCUUGGGAGUGACUUGAAGUGAAGCUUUCUUUGUGCCCGGGCAAGGUCUGCAUUGCUCCCCUUUUUGAAGACAGGUUUUAUGUUGGCCCUUCUCAAGUCUUGUGGCUCCUCACCAUCCUCCCGGAGUUGUCAAAGAUCAUUGUUAACUGUUCCAAGAUUGCUUCAUCUAAUUCCUCAGGUACCCCAGGAUGAAUUGCAUUAGACCCUGCUGACUUGAAUACAUUUAACCUGCAGUGUAACAUCCACGUUUUGCUCCAGCUCAUUCUGUCCUUCCAGAGACCAGGGAAAAGAAAUGGCUGCAGCGGAGCUAUUUGAGGGGCCAAUGGCCUUCGAGGAGGUGGCUGUGUAUUUCAGCAA